UAGAGUUUGAUCAUGGCUCAGAUUGAACGCUGGCGGCAGGCCUAACACAUGCAAGUCGAGCGGAAACGAUCCUAGCUUGCUAGGAGGCGUCGAGCGGCGGACGGGUGAGUAACGCGUGAGAAUCUACCCAUGAGUGGGGGACAACCCGGGGAAACUUGGGCUAAUACCGCAUACGCCCUACGGGGUAAAGCAGGGGACCUUCGGGCCUUGCGCUGAUGGAUGAGCUCGCGUCGGAUUAGCUUGUUGGUGAGGUAAAGGCUCACCAAGGCGACGAUCCGUAGCUGGUCUGAGAGGAUGAUCAGCCACACCGGGACUGAGACACGGCCCGGACUCCUACGGGAGGCAGCAGUGGGGAAUCUUGGACAAUGGGGGCAACCCUGAUCCAGCCAUGCCGCGUGUGUGAAGAAGGCCUUCGGGUUGUAAAGCACUUUCAGCAGGGAGGAAGGCUUACCCCUAAUACGGGUGAGUACUUGACGUUACCUGCAGAAGAAGCACCGGCUAAUUUCGUGCCAGCAGCCGCGGUAAUACGAAAGGUGCAAGCGUUAAUCGGAAUUACUGGGCGUAAAGCGCGCGUAGGCGGUGUGUUAAGUCGGAUGUGAAAGCCCAGGGCUCAACCUUGGAAUUGCAUCCGAUACUGGCACGCUAGAGUGCAGUAGAGGGAGGUGGAAUUUCCGGUGUAGCGGUGAAAUGCGUAGAGAUCGGAAGGAACACCAGUGGCGAAGGCGGCCUCCUGGACUGACACUGACGCUGAGGUGCGAAAGCGUGGGGAGCAAACAGGAUUAGAUACC
rnacentral:rRNA from 1 species